AGAACGAACGCUGGCGGCGUGCUUAACACAUGCAAGUCGAACGCGAAAGGGACUUCGGUCCUGAGUAAAGUGGCGCACGGGUGAGUAACGCGUGGAUAAUCUACCCAAUGGUCUGGGAUAACAUUUCGAAAGGGGUGCUAAUACCGGAUAAGACCACGGAGUCUCUGGACUCUGCGGUAAAAGGUGGGGACCUUCGGGCCUACCGCAAUUGGAUGAGUCCGCGUACCAUUAGCUAGUUGGUAGGGUAAAGGCCUACCAAGGCUACGAUGGUUAGCUGGUCUGAGAGGAUGAUCAGCCACACUGGAACUGAGACACGGUCCAGACUCCUACGGGAGGCAGCAGUGAGGAAUUUUGCGCAAUGGGGGAAACCCUGACGCAGCAACGCCGCGUGAGUGAUGAAGGCCUUCGGGUCGUAAAGCUCUGUCAGAGGGGAAGAAAUGCAGGGUGCUAAUAUCGCUUCUGCUUGACGGUACCCUCAAAGGAAGCACCGGCUAACUCCGUGCCAGCAGCCGCGGUAAUACGGAGGGUGCGAGCGUUGUUCGGAAUUAUUGGGCGUAAAGCGCGUGUAGGCGGUUUGUUAAGUCUGAUGUGAAAGCCCCGGGCUCAACCUGGGAAGUGCAUUGGAAACUGGCAGACUUGAAUACGGGAGAGGGUAGUGGAAUUCCUAGUGUAGGAGUGAAAUCCGUAGAUAUUAGGAGGAACACCGGUGGCGAAGGCGGCUGCCUGGACCGAUAUUGACGCUGAGACGCGAAAGCGUGGGGAGCAAACAGGAUUAGAUACCCUGGUAGUCCACGCCGUAAACGAUGAGUACUAGGUGUUGCGGGUAUUGACCCCUGCAGUGCCGCAGCUAACGCAUUAAGUACUCCGCCUGGGAAGUACGGCCGCAAAGCUAAAACUC
rnacentral:rRNA from 1 species